GAUGAACGCUGGCGGCGUGCCUAAUACAUGCAAGUCGAGCGAACAGACGAGGAGCUUGCUCCUCUGACGUUAGCGGCGGACGGGUGAGUAACACGUGUAUAACCUACCUAUAAGACUGGGAUAACUUCGGGAAACCGGAGCUAAUACCGGAUAAUAUAUUGAACCGCAUGGUUCAAUAGUGAAAGACGGUUUUGCUGUCACUUAUAGAUGGAUCCGCGCCGCAUUAGCUAGUUGGUAAGGUAACGGCUUACCAAGGCAACGAUGCGUAGCCGACCUGAGAGGGUGAUCGGCCACACUGGAACUGAGACACGGUCCAGACUCCUACGGGAGGCAGCAGUAGGGAAUCUUCCGCAAAGGGCGAAAGCCUGACGGAGCAACGCCGCGUGAGUGAUGAAGGUCUUCGGAUCGUAAAACUCUGUUAUUAGGGAAGAACAAAUGUGUAAGUAACUAUGCACGUCUUGACGGUACCUAAUCAGAAAGCCACGGCUAACUACGUG
rnacentral:rRNA from 1 species